GCAGCCGCGGUAAUACGGAGGAUCCAAGCGUUAUCCGGAUUUAUUGGGUUUAAAGGGUGCGUAGGCGGUUUUAUAAGUUAGAGGUGAAAUAUCGGGGCUCAACUCCGAGGCUGCCUCUAAUACUGUAUGACUAGAGAGUAGAUGCGGUAGGCGGAAUGUAUGGUGUAGCGGUGAAAUGCGUAGAGAUCAUACAGAACACCGAUUGCGAAGGCAGCUUACCAAACUAUAUCUGACGUUGAGGCACGAAAGCGUGGGGAGCAAACAGGAUUAGAUACCCC
rnacentral:rRNA from 1 species